UACAGAGGUCUCAAGCGUUGUUCGGAUUCAUUGGGCGUAAAGGGUGCGUAGGCGGCGCGGUAAGUCGGGGUGUGAAAUCUCGGAGCUUAACUCCGAAACUGCAUUCGAUACUGCCGUGCUUGAGGACUGGAGAGGAGACCGGAAUUUACGGUGUAGCGGUGAAAUGCGUAGAUAUCGUAAGGAAGACCAGUGGCGAAGGCGGGUCUCUGGACAGUUCCUGACGCUGA
rnacentral:rRNA from 1 species